ACUGAAUUUGUAGAGUCAAAU
rnacentral:snRNA from 1 species